rnacentral:rRNA from 1 species
UACGUAGGGGGCUAGCGUUGUCCGGAAUCAUUGGGCGUAAAGAGCGUGUAGGCGGCCCGGUAAGUCCGCUGUGAAAGUCGGGGGCUCAACCCUCGAAUGCCGGUGGAUACUGUCGGGCUAGAGUGCGGAAGAGGCGAGUGGAAUUCCUGGUGUAGCGGUGAAAUGCGCAGAUAUCUGGAGGAACACCGGUGGCGAAGGCGGCAUCCUGGACCAAUACUGACACUGAAAAGCGAAAGCCAGGGGAGCAAACGGG